CCUGGCGGCCAUAGCGCGGUGGACCCACCUGAACCCAUGCCGAACUCAGAAGUGAAACGCCGUAGCGCCGAUGGUAGU
rnacentral:rRNA from 1 species